UACGUAGGGUGCAAGCGUUAAUCGGAAUUACUGGGCGUAAAGCGUACGCAGGCGGUUUUGUAAGACCGAUGUGAAAUCCCCGGGCUUAACCUGGGAAUUGCGCUUGAAACUAGCGGGCUUGAGUGUGGCAGAGGGGGGUGGAAUUCCACGUGUAGCAGUGAAAUGCGUAGAGAUGUGGAGGAACACCGAUGGCGAAGGCAGCCCCCUGGGUCAACACUGACGCUCAUGCACGAAAGCGUGGGGAGCAAACAGG
rnacentral:rRNA from 1 species